AGCGAACGCUGGCGGCAGGCCUAACACAUGCAAGUCGAACGAAGCCUUCGGGCUUAGUGGCGGACGGGUGAGUAACACGUGGGAACGUACCUUUUGGUUCGGAAUAACGCAGAGAAAUUUGCGCUAAUACCGAAUGAGCCCUUCGGGGGAAAGAUUUAUCGCCGAAAGAUCGGCCCGCGUUGGAUUAGGUAGUUGGUGCGGUAAAGGCGCACCAAGCCUACGAUCCAUAGCUGGUCUGAGAGGAUGAUCAGCCACACUGGGACUGAGACACGGCCCAGACUCCUACGGGAGGCAGCAGUGGGGAAUCUUGCGCAAUGGGCGAAAGCCUGACGCAGCCAUGCCGCGUGAAUGAUGAAGGUCUUAGGAUUGUAAAAUUCUUUUACCAGGGACGAUAAUGACGGUACCUGGAGAAAAGGCCCCGGCUAACUUCGUGCCAGCCGCCGCCGUAAAAC
rnacentral:rRNA from 1 species